rnacentral:rRNA from 1 species
GACGAACGCUGGCGGCGUGCUUAACACAUGCAAGUCGAACGGAAAGGCCCUGCUUUUGUGGGGUGCUCGAGUGGCGAACGGGUGAGUAACACGUGAGUAACCUGCCCUUGACUUUGGGAUAACUUCAGGAAACUGGGGCUAAUACCGGAUAGGAGCUCCUGCUGCAUGGUGGGGGUUGGAAAGUUUCGGCGGUUGGGGAUGGACUCGCGGCUUAUCAGCUUGUUGGUUGGGUAGUGGCUUACCAAGGCUUUGACGGGUAGCCGGCCUGAGAGGGUGACCGGCCACAUUGGGACUGAGAUACGGCCCAGACUCCUACGGGAGGCAGCAGGGGGGAAUAUUGCACAGUGGGCGGACGCCUGAUGCAGAAACGCCGCGUGCGGGAUGACGGCCUUCGGGUUGUAAACCGCUUUCGCCUGUGACGAAGCGUGAGUGACGGUAAUGGGUAAAGAAGCACCGGCUAACUACGUG